rnacentral:rRNA from 1 species
UACGUAGGUGGCAAGCGUUGUCCGGAUUUACUGGGCGUAAAGAGCGCGCAGGCGGUCGUUCAAGUCGCGUGUGAAAGCCCCCGGCUCAACUGGGGAGGGUCACGCGAUACUGGUCGACUCGAAGGCAGGAGAGGGUAGUGGAAUUCCAGGUGUAGCGGUGAAAUGCGUAGAUAUCUGGAGGAACACCGGUGGCGAAGGCGGCAUCCUGGACCGGCAUUGACGCUGAGGCGCGAAAGCCAGGGGAGCAAACGGG